rnacentral:rRNA from 1 species
UACGUAGGGUGCAAGCGUUGUCCGGAAUUAUUGGGCGUAAAGAGCUCGUAGGCGGUCUGUUGCGUCGGCUGUGAAAACCCGGGGCUCAACUCCGGAACUGCAGUCGAUACGGGCAGACUAGAGUUCGGCAGGGGAGACUGGAAUUCCUGGUGUAGCGGUGAAAUGCGCAGAUAUCAGGAGGAACACCGGUGGCGAAGGCGGGUCUCUGGGCCGAUACUGACGCUGAGGAGCGAAAGCGUGGGGAGCGAACAGG